CUAAGAUUCCAGAUGGAGACACCUGUGGAGAGAUGAACUUACAAUCUUCAGCAGCCUUCUUUCAUGGGGCUAUAUGUCAAUUGGGGUGUGGACAAGAGAUUGAGAAUUUGAGUUUUUCCCUGGCAGAAAGAUCUUCCCUCAGAGCCAUCUCUCAACUUCCUAGAUCACAUCCCUUUACUACACUCUCAAGAGCACCUUGCGGUUAUUAUUCACGUCACUCACCAUGGACGCAGCACCACACAGGAGGGAAGCCAAAUCAGCUCACGAAGAAGCCCACGAGGAGAUGAACCAGAGGCUCUGGCCCACAGCCCUACGGAGCUCCAAGCUGAAAGUUAACACCAACUUGCUGGUCAUGAGUUGAGUCCUCUUGACAGUGGAGCUUCCAGGCUUCACCAAAUGCCUUGUGGAGCAAAGAUGAGAUGUUCCCAUCAAAACCUACA
rnacentral:lncRNA from 1 species